CCUACGGGAGGCAGCAGUCGAGAAUCAUUCACAAUGGGGGAAACCCUGAUGGUGCGACGCCGCGUGGGGGAAUGAAGGUCUUCGGAUUGUAAACUCCUGUCAUGUGGGAGCAAAUUAAAAAGAUAGUACCACAAGAGGAAGAGACGGCUAACUCUGUGCCAGCAGCCGCGGUAAUACAGAGGUCUCAAGCGUUGUUCGGAAUCACUGGGCGUAAAGGGUGCGUAGGCUGUUUCGUAAGUCGUGUGUGAAAGGCGCGGGCUCAACCCGCGGACGGCACAUGAUACUGCGAGACUAGAGUAAUGGAGGGGGAAGCGGAAUUCUCGGUGUAGCAGUGAAAUGCGUAGAUAUCGAGAGGAACACUCGUGGCGAAGGCGGGUUCCUGGACAUUAACUGACGCUGAGGCACGAAGGCCAGGGGAGCGAAAGGGAUUAGAUACCCCAGUAGUC
rnacentral:rRNA from 1 species